UGCUUUUUAGCUCAGACAAAACAGCUCAGAUUCUCCCUUGGACCACCUCCCUUGAUGUCUGCAGACAUACAGCUCUGGUAAUAACAUCUGCUCUUCAACUUAGUCCAUGAUUAAGUGUUCCAUGUAGUAGAAAAAAACGGUCGAAAAGUGACUGAAGCCCCCUGUUAUUAGUAGAUCAACAGCCAUGGGGAGCAGAAUGAAGGCCAGUUUCACAAUCUUACCUAUGUGAGCUGGACCACUGUCAAUGCUGCCCCCGUAGCCUGACCGGUUACAGAAUGGAGGCGCCCAUCCAGAGUUGCAGUGGCAGUUCCCGUUGUUGUUACACACCUACGGUGGAUACAACAGGGAUUAGUCAAGCAAAUGCCUUUUGGAAGUGGCUGCUCUCAACCUCCAGUGUAUAUUUGGAGUUCCACAUGGAAGAGUGCAUGUGGAAACAAGAAAUAUGGCAUAAUAUUGUAUAGAAAUACACAAAGUAAUAACCAGGAAUAAGCUCUCCCCCUCCAUCCCAAAACACUGAGUGAUACUGAUACUGCAAGUUAAUUCUCUAUAGACAUUAAACUUUGGGGUUUUAUUUGCCUGCAAUAGAUUAUAGUCCAGAGAACUCAGAUUUAAAACCUUUGGACUCCAUUUUGAUCUUUCAUGGAAACAUUUGUAAGUGAGGAAUCACUUGUCCUUGUCAAAGGAAUAUUUUCCUUUUAUAAUUCCACAGCUCACUAGUAAUAGAAAAUUCCCUAGGGAUAUUCAGAAAAAAUGCCUUUCAAUGUCAGUGCUAAGCAGUUUACAGUGUACUGACACAUGAAUUACAGAUAAAAAGGUGGACUUAACUUUUAAUACAGGUGAGAAAACCCCAAAGCCAUCUGUCUGGUUAUUGCUUUUAUGCAGGGAUUUUGCACCUCUCUUUGUCUUCUAGAAACAGGGCAUGAAGACACCAUCUACUCACCCCAUUGUCGUUACACUUCUGCUUUACAUCACAGCUAUAGCCCAGAUUACUUGCAUCAACACAUUCAAAAUCCAAACAGGCCUGGAAAAAGCUGUUCCAUCAUGAACUUGAGCAGGAUCAGGGACAUCUGAUCCUAAGUCAAAGUCAGAAGACCAGCAUAAAACCCCAGAUGCGUUAUUGACAACGCUCCAGGCAGGAAGGUUUUGAAGACUAACAGAUGUGCACUGGAGCUUGCCACACAGACUAUGCCUGUAUUGAAUGAAAGACACUCAGAAACAAGGAUGUCCUUAGUGAUACUCCCACCAAUUUGAGGGCCAUGAACAUGAAGGCAAAACCCACCUGCUGUGACACCAUGCCCAAGCAAGAGCUCUGGAGACCUUUGGCUGCUGGGAUGGACUGAGGAGGUGGCUUGGACUGAAGCUCUCAAGAGAGAAACAGAAAUGUAUUUACCCUCAAAAGCUUCUCCCUGCUAGAGGUACUGUUUGAAACAAAGGUGUAUUUCACAGCCUGCUUCACAAACGACUCCUCGUGAUGAAGGCUGCUGUUCAGCACACCACACCGGAAGGGGAUAUCCUGCAUAUCUUCUGACUGGUAAAACACAUGUUCAAACGUGCUGGAUGCGUUGAGUGGCUCCAUUCCAUACCAUUUACCACCAAUGUAGAGAAUUCCUCUAAUAAUGAUAAAAGAAUGAAUAAUUAUUCCACAGGUGUUCCCUCGUGGUUAUGACUAGAUGAUUGAAUGACAGCUGGAUACUUAGAAACUAGAACUGUUCAUACCACUUUGUUGAAAUGAAUUAUUAUCUUACAUUAUCUUAAUAUAGGGUGUAAGUUCAAAUGACUGAAAGGGUCUCUUUUAGUCCUUAUCUCUAGUCUCACUCCUAGCCCCAUGCAGCUAAAGUAACCUAGUAUUUUAGAAAAAGAUAUUUUCUAAGACACAGAGAGAGGCUAAAAGCAAUCACCAGGGUGUUUGUGAGGGCAACAGCAGUAUUGCACUGCUGAGUGCAUUUGUCCAUGGCUCAUAAACACCCGGUCCGUGCCCAUUUGCUGUUCUUUUAGAGCCUAUUAUCUUGCUUUCCACAAUCUCAAACUAUAUUUAGAACAAGAAUUCUCUAGUUAAUAUCUUGUGAAAGAAGAUCUUCAAAAACGUGAGUACGAAGUAGCCAAAGGAUUUGAGUCUGAUUAAGUUUUGCAGAACAGUCAAAAUGGAGUAUCUGUUCUGCUUACUGAGAUCCGGCAUUACCUGAAACACCAGUAUGUUGACCAUUUUAUUCUUCAGUUAAAGGAAUGCCAGAAGUGUCAUUAUUUGUUGUGAGUGGCAUCUCACUGUGAUAUUAUCAAUGAAAGAUAUGUGGGUGAUCUUUAUCCCGUUUUCCUCUUUCUCCUUGUCAAAAAGACAUCAAACUGAACAAGCCUACUACAUGCAACAGGUAUAUCCAAAGUCCAGCUAAAAAGCCCAGCUCAGUGAACACCAGGGAGCAUGGACACACUCUAAGCACAUUCUGAGUAUCUGCAGCAUGUGGUGUGUGUGCCAUCUCAUUUUAUCAACUCGUGGACUGAUUCUGCAGGGAGAAACAAUUGCCCUUUAUGCAUUAAUCUGGUCCCUGUAUGUUUCUCCAAUUAAUGUAAUUUUAUUGGUUUUGAAACACAAAUUGAGGAAAGGCUGAGAGAGCUGGGUUUGUUCAGCCUCCAGAAAAGAGGCCUCAGGGGAGACCUUGUCACCAUGUUCCAGUAUGUAAAGGGUGGCUACAAAAAAGAUGGAGACUCCCUUGUUACAAGGAGUCACAUGGAAAAGACAAGAGGUGAUGGGCACAAGUUACUCCGGGGGAGCUUCUGACUGGACAAGAGAGCAAAGUUCUUCACCAUGAGAACAACCAGCCAUUGGAAUAAUCUCCCCAGGGAAGUGGUGGAUUCACCAACAUUGGACACUUAAGAUUUAGCUGGACAGGGUGCUGGGACAUCUAGUCUAGGUCAUGCUCAUGCCAAGAAAGGUUGGACCAGAUGAUUCCUAACAUCCCUUCCAACCUGGGAUUCUAUGGUAUGAUCGAGUGUCUUAAGUUCAGUGAAAGCUCCAUCAGAUUGUUUUUCUUCUACAAAGGUGUCUCUCGUCAAGACAUUUGCAUCACGUAAUAGAGGCUUCAGCUCAUGCCUGUGUUUUGCUUAUGUUUAGAUUAUGCUCUCUCACUUUAUCCUUUCUCUGUGAAGGAAUUUUGGGAAAAGGGAAAAAAGGUGUAGCUGAGGGAAACUAUAAAACCUGUAAAGAGCUUCAGCUUCAUCAAAAGGUGAAAUAUUGAAAGUAUUUUAAAAGAUUUGCAAGAUAGGAUGGUGUUUUUCAGCUGUGUGAUGAAUUUUACUGUUUUACAUUGGUACUGCACAAUGAAUUACCCUGAAGUAACAAGCAAAAGUUAAUACCUAAGGCCAUCGCAUGUGCUAAGAGCAAGCACCGAGUCAGCAAUUCCUUCAACAGUGCCAUGGUAAUAACAGUGUGUCUGAAAUGCAACAAAACCACGUGAUUAAUGACAAAAUAAAGUUGUUGCCUUCAAAUGCAAAGUCAUUUUCUAACUAACCUUUGUAUUUGCAUGACAUUAAGUCUGGCUGUUAUGGAUUUACAGAGUUCAUUGUUCUAGAAGUAAUCCCAGCCUUCUCGGAGUAAAAUAUGACUUGACAUGAGUACCUGCAACAGGUCCCUUGCUUCUCACAACCAGCUUUUUAGUUUAACCAUCACCAUCUUUUAGCAGAAUCUUUUCACCUACAUUGCUCACCCUGUUCUUAAACAGACUGUUCUCAAAGGCUGAUAUGAGAUCUCCCAUCCACAAAGCACCCCAUGAAGUCCUGCUGAGUUCACAUACAGUUUAAAGUUGAAAUGAAAUACAGAAGUAUUUAUAAGGCUUGUUUGGCACCAAAAAACUACAAAGCUUUGAUGCUGCUGUUGUAUCUUUAAUAGCAUACUUAUGCAAAGGCGACCUUAUCAGGCAGCUCAAAUUCAGUCUUGGCACAAUCUCCUGGCAUCUCCUUUCACACCUUGGAAAACAGUGAUGUAUAUCACCAUAAACAGCCCACUCCCUCAUAAAACACUAAACCUCAUGUUUUGUAUCAAUGGUAAGCAUUAAACAGAAAUGCUACAAAUGUGAAGACUCACAAAAACCUCUUUCCAGACAAAUGUAUUUUCCUUUUGUAGAUGCUU